GGAGAGGUACCGAAGUGGUCAUAACGGGCCCGACUCGAAAUCGGGUGAUCCCUUAACCGGGGUCCGUGGGUUCGAAUCCCACCCUCUCCGCCA
rnacentral:tRNA from 1 species